UACGUAGGGUGCAAGCGUUAAUCGGAAUUACUGGGCGUAAAGCGUGCGCAGGCGGUUAUGUAAGGCAGAUGUGAAAUCCCCGGGCUCAACCUGGGAACUGCAUUUGUGACUGCAUCGCUGGAGUGCGGCAGAGGGGGAUGGAAUUCCGCGUGUAGCAGUGAAAUGCGUAGAUAUGCGGAGGAACACCGAUGGCGAAGGCAAUCCCCUGGGCCUGCACUGACGCUCAUGCACGAAAGCGUGGGGAGCAAACAGG
rnacentral:rRNA from 1 species